CUCGGGGCGUCUGGGCAGCCUACGCUUUCCGGAUAAAAAUGGCAGAAUGAAAGAAUUAUGAGUGGAACUAGAGAAUAGGAAAGACAUGAACCAACGCCCAAAAUGAGAAAGAAGGACAUAUAAAGAAAAAGACAAAUACAAGUGAAAAAAAUAGACUAAUGGAUUAACGUCCCUGUCGUGUGACAUUUUCUGGUAUGACAGCUGAAGAUGUUGAACCGUAUGGUGCAGUUUUGCAAAUAGUGUAUGAAGUGGGUUGUAAGUUUUACCAGUAAUUGUCUAUAGAUACAAAAAGGAGCCAACCUCUUUUUUUUUCUUUUAGUGUGAUGUUCCUUGUUCUAUCUUCGAACUCUCAAAGGUAGCCUUUACACAGAUGUUCAAACUAAUUCUACCAGUGUCAUAUGUCUACCAAUCUCAUUACUUCCCUUGUAUGUACUUCUAGAGCAAAGAGCUCAUUACAGUAAGAAUGAUGGUAAAUUUUACUGAGGCAAACAAAGAUUUCUGAACGCGAGCAGUGUGUGUGAAAUGCUUAUGCACUAGCUGAUAGCAUAACUCUGGUCAAAGAAAUUUGGUCACUUAAAUAUUAUAAUUGAAUUUAGCCCCUAAAGUAGCUGUUCUUAACCUGGAAUCUGAAGAACAGCCUGUUGGUGGGGCUCCCAGGGAAUUUGUGAACCACUGAAAUUAUAUACAUAAUUUCAUGUCUGUGUACCGUGUACAUUUAUUUUUCUUACUUUUUUUUGAGAUGGAGUUUCGCUCUGUUGCCCAGCCUGGAGUGCAGUGGCACCACCUCAGCUCACUGCAAGCUCCGCCUCCUGGGUUCACACCAUUCUCCUGCCUCAG
rnacentral:lncRNA from 1 species